ACAAACCGGAGGAAGGUGGGGAUGACGUCAAAUCAUCAUGCCCCUUAUGACCUGGGCUACACACGUGCUACAAUGGGAAGUACAACGAGUUGCGAAGUCGCGAGGCUAAGCUAAUCUCUUAAAGCUUCUCUCAGUUCGGAUUGCAGGCUGCAACUCGCCUGCAUGAAGCCGGAAUCGCUAGUAAUCGCGGAUCAGCACGCCGCGGUGAAUACGUUCCCGGGCCUUGUACACACCGCCCGUCACACCACGAGAGUUUGUAACACCCGAAGUCGGUGAGGUAACCUUUUUGGAGCCAGCCGCCUAAGGUGGGAUAGAUGAUUGGGGUGAAGUCGUAACAAGGUAGCCGUAUCGGAAGGUGCGGCUGGAUCACCUCCUUUCUAAGGAA
rnacentral:rRNA from 1 species